rnacentral:rRNA from 1 species
AGGUAAGACAGAGCCGGGAAUGAGAAAACCGGUGCAAGCACAAUAGAUGUGUGGGAGGAAAAACCCCCGCAUAAGUCGAAGGUGUGACGCGGACCGAAAAAGAGUAGGGAAGCUGUUAAGCAAGCCGUCAAGAAAAGCUGCUAUUGUUUCAUUAUGGCCCGUACCGUAAACCGACACAGGUGGAUGGGGAGAGAAUCCUAAGGCCGGCGGAAGAAGUAUUGUUAAGGAACUCGGCAAAAUGACCCCGUAACUUCGGGAGAAGGGGUGCCUGCGAGAGCAGGCCGCAGAGAAGAGGCCCAAGCAACUGUUUAGCAAAAACACAGGUCUAUGCAAAACCGAAAGGUGAGGUAUAUGGGCUGACGCCUGCCCGGUGCUGGAAGGUUAAGGGGAGUGGUCAGGAAACGAAGCCACGAACUUAAGCCCCAGUAAACGGCGGCCGUAACAAUAACGGUCCUAAGGUAGCGAAAUUCCUUGUCGGGUAAGUUCCGACCCGCACGAAAGGCGUAAUGAUUUGGGCGCUGUCUCGACAAUACAUCCGGUGAAAUUGAAGUGCCAGUGAAGAUGCUGGCUACCUGCGCCAGGACGGAAAGACCCCAUGGAGCUUUACUCCAGCUUGAUACUGGGACCCGGUAUUGCAUGUACAGGAUAGGUGGGAGGCUAGGAAAUGUGGACGCCAGUCUGCAUGGAGCCGCUGUUGGGAUACCACCCUUGUGGUGCUGGGUUUCUAACCAGAGGCCGUGAACCGGUCUGGGGACAAUGUCAGGUGGGGAGUUUGACUGGGGCGGUCGCCUCCGAAAGGGUAUCGGAGGCGCCCAAAGGUUCCCUCAGAAUGGUUGGAAACCAUUCGAAGAGUGCAAAGGCAGAAGGGAGCUUGACUGCGACACCGACGGGUGGAGCAGGUACGAAAGUAGGGCUUAGUGAUCCGGUGGAAUUUAAGUGGGAAUGCCAUCGCUCAACGGAUAAAAACUACCCUGGGAUAACAGGCUGAUCACUCCCAAGAGUUCACAUCGACGGAGUGGUUUGGCACCUCGAUGACGGCUCAUCGCAUCCUGGGGCUGAAGUCGGUCCCAAGGGUUGGGCUGUUCGCCCAUUAAAGCGGUACGCGAGCUGGGUUCAGAACGUCGUGAGACAGUUCGGUCCCUAUCCGGCGUGGGCGUAGGAUAUCUGAGAGGAGCUGUCCUUAGUACGAGAGGACCGGGAUGGACUGACCUCUGGUGUACCGGUUGGCGAUCAACGCCACGGCCGGGUAGCCAUGUCGGGACGGGAUAAACGCUGAAGGCAUCUAAGCGUGAAGCCCCCCUCAAGAUGAGAUAUCCCAUCGUAAGAGUAAGACCCCUUGAAGACGACGAGGUUGAUAGGGCAGGGGUGGAAGUGCCGUAAGGCAUGGAGCUGACUGCUACUAAUCGGUCGAGGGCUUGACCGA